GCGCCCGUAGCUCAGCUGGAUAGAGCAACGGCCUUCUAAGCCGUGGGUCGCAGGUUCGAAUCCUGCCGGGCGUGCCA
rnacentral:tRNA from 4 species